AGAGACGCAGGAAAUUACUAGUGCGUGAAUGAUGGGAGAGAUGACGGCAGGCACACUGAGGUUAGAAGCAUGAGCCCGUGGUCAGAUCACUAUGGCUCUGUCUCUGUUCCCUAAACGAGUGAUUCCCAGAGAACUGGUACCCCUGCUAGUGAAUGACAGUGGUGACAGUAGUACCUACCACAGAGUUUUUAUAAGGGCUACAUGAGGAAAGGCAGGAGGUAUGAGUGAUGCUAUAACUGAGACACUUUUGCAUACCAAGGAUACAAAAACAGCAUAUGACUACAUGAGAAAAAAGAACUGUGAGUCAAUGACAUUAUGACAGCACAGAAGACAUUGAAGUUUAUACCAGAACCCCCACCACCUGUCUGCUACACAUGUCUGGUCCUUGGGUGUAAACAAUGGGGUGCACUUGGCUCCAUCUGGCUGUUUGAGCUCAGUAGGUGGGUCUACUGUGUUCCAGAGCCCAAGCCAUUUGCCUCUAACUCUAUAGACUUGUUCCCUAUUUGUGACAACUCCACGCUUCUGUCAUCCCCUCAAUCUUGCUCCUUCCUGGAAUGUGCAAGAAUUGUCAAUGUUUCAGAGCAAGCACCCUCUUUAGGAGCUCCCCCAAUGCCUGUUCCUAUCCUUUGUAAUACUUUCUCAAGUUGGAAACUAUAUUUUCGUGGAAGUAUUCACUUAAUACUUUCUACUUCA